GAUGAACGCUAGCGGCAGGCCUAACACAUGCAAGUCGAGGGGCAGCAUAAAAUAAACUUGUUUAUUUGGUGGCGACCGGCGCACGGGUGCGUAACGCGUAUGCAACCUACCUUACACAGGGGGAUAGCCCGGAGAAAUUCGGAUUAAUACCCCAUAGCACUACCGGAUGGCAUCAUUUGAUAUUUAAAGCUUUGGCGGUGUAAGAUGGGCAUGCGUCCUAUUAGCUAGUUGGUGAGGUAACGGCUCACCAAGGCUACGAUAGGUAGGGGGCCUGGGAGGGUGGUCCCCCACACUGGUACUGAGACACGGACCAGACUCCUACGGGAGGCAGCAGUGAGGAAUAUUGGUCAAUGGGCGCAAGCCUGAACCAGCCAUGCCGCGUGAAGGAUGAAGGUUCUAUGGAUUGUAAACUUCUUUUAUUUGGGAAUAAACCCCUUUACGUGUAGAGGGCUGAAGGUACCAAAUGAAUAAGCACCGGCUAACUCCGUGCCAGCCGCCGCCGUAAUAC
rnacentral:rRNA from 1 species